GCGGGAAUAGCUCAGUUGGUAGANCAUAACCUUGCCAAGGUUGGGGUCGCGAGUUCGAGUCUCGUUUCCCGCUCCA
rnacentral:tRNA from 1 species